UCCCGGCCCGGUCAGCUUUCAUACCUCGCCAAGAUGACAUUAACGAAGCUCAGUAUGGAGAGUUUCCAUGGCAUGCAGCAGUGUUGCAGCCCAGACACUACCAGGAAGGAUUGGUACAGACUUUUGUCUGCUCUGGUGCACUAAUCCACCCAUACUUUGUCAUCACUGCGGCCCACUGUGUUAUUUUCAGCAGUGGGGACUUCACAGUAUCGCUGGGCGAUUUGGGACCUGACGGAGGGAAAGAAUCAUAUCCUAGAUACGCUCUAGUCACUGUCAGUGACGUUAUUAUUCAUCCAGGU